CGCGGCCUAUCAGCUUGUUGGCGGGGUAACGGCCCACCAAGGCUAUGACGGGUAGCUAGUCUGAGAGGACGACCAGCCACACGGGGACUGAGACACGGCCCCGACUCCUACGGGAGGCAGCAGUGGGGAAUUUUCCGCAAUGGGCGAAAGCCUGACGGAGUGACGCCGCGUGUGGGACGAAGGCCUUCGGGUCGUAAACCACUGUCAGUGGGAAAGAUGGGUGUCGGUGUUAAUACCAUCGGCAUCUGACGGUACCUGCAGAGGAAGCCCCGGCCAACUCUGUGCCAGCAGCCGCGGUAAGACAGAGGGGGCAAGCGUUGCUCGGAAUUACUGGGCGUAAAGGGCGCGUAGGCGGGAUGGUAAGUCGGUCGUGAAAUCCCUCGGCUCAACCGAGGAACGUCGAUCGAUACUACCGUUCUUGAGGAUUGCAGAGGAGACUGGAAUUCCCGGUGUAGCGGUGAAAUGUGUAGAGAUAGGGAGGAACACCGGUGGCGAAGGCGGGUCUCUGGGCAAUUCCUGACGCUGAGGCGCGAAAGCGUGGGGAGCAAACGGGAUUAGAUACCCCGGUAGUCCACGCUGUAAACGAUGAGCACUAGGUGUGGGGGGGUUCAGUCCCUUCCGUGCCGCAGCUAACGCAUUAAGUGCCCCGCCUGGGGAGUACGG
rnacentral:rRNA from 1 species